rnacentral:rRNA from 1 species
UACGUAGGGUGCGAGCGUUGUCCGGAAUUAUUGGGCGUAAAGAGCUUGUAGGCGGUUUGUCGCGUCUGCUGUGAAAAUCCGGGGCUCAACCCCGGACUUGCAGUGGGUACGGGCAGACUAGAGUGUGGUAGGGGAGACUGGAAUUCCGUGGUGAUAGCGGUGAAAUGCGCAGAUAUCAGGAGGAACACCGAUGGCGAAGGCAGGUCUCUGGGCCACUACUGACGCUGGGAGAAAGCGGAAAAGCAUGGGGGAGCGAAACAGGA